rnacentral:lncRNA from 15 species
GAAAUCUAUACGCAGUGAGAAAAAAAGGAGAAUUUCUACCAUCCCGAAGUAAAGUUGUAGGAAUGCAUGCACAGACGAAACCACCAGCAAUUGAAAUCGUGGAGGAGGAAGAAGAGAUGGAAGAGGAAGAGGGAGAAGAGGGAGACAAAGUGGAGGCUGCUNNNNNNNNNNNNNNNNNNNNNNNNNNNNNNNNNNNNNNNNNNNNNNNNNNNNNNNNNNNNNNNNNGAGGAGGAAGAACUAGAGGAGGAGGAGGAGGAGGAGGAGGACUAUUAUGAGGAUGAAGAGGAGUAUUAUGAUGAGGAAGAUGAGUAUUAUGAUGAGGAAGAAGAAGAAUAUGAGGAGGAGGAGGAGGAGGAAGAAGAAGAGGAAGGAGCAGAAGCUGUGGCGGAGGAGGAAGAGGAGGAGGAAGAGGAGGGGGCAGAAGCAGUGGAGGAGGAAGAAGAAGAGGAGGAGGGAGAAGAAGAGGAGGGAGCAGAAGCUGCGGAGGAGGAGGAACAAGAAGAGGAAGAAGAGCAGGAGGGAGAAGAAGAGGAGGGAGCAGAAGCUAUGGAGGAGGAGGAAGAGGAGGAGGGGGCAGAAGCUGUGGAGGAAGAGGAGGGAGCAGAAGCUGAGGAGGAGGAGGAGAUAGGAGGAGUUGAAGAAGAGGAGGAGGAGGAGGAGGAGGAAGAGGAGGGGGCAGCUGAAGCUGUGGAGGAAGAGGAGAAGAAGGAGGAGGAGGAGGAGAAAGAGGACAAGGCAGAAGGAGUGGAAGAGGAGAAGAAGGAGGAGGAGGAGGAGAAAGAGGACAAGGCAGAAGGAGUGGAAGAGGAGCAAGAGGAGGAGGAAGACGAGGAAGAUGAGAAGGAACCUGAAGCAGCUGCAGCUGAGAUUGAUGAAGAUGAAGAUGAAGAUGAAGUGAAAAAGGAAGCAGCAGAAAAAGAGGUUGACGAAGAUGAGGAUGAAGAUGAGGAAGACGAUGACGAUGAAGAUGAUGAUGAUGAUGAUGAUGAUGACGCUGAUGUUGAUGAAGUCUUGCUAGCAGCUACCACUGCAGCAGCGUUUGCUGUCCAGGAGGAGGCAGUAAAGACUGAGGAAGACAUCAAUGAGGACGAGGAUGAGGGCGACAUCAAACAGGCUGCUGAUGAAGACGAAUCUGAGGAGGCUGAAGCUGUUAUGAGUCAGCCUGCUCCCCUCGAAGAGGAGUAUGAUGAGGGAGAAGACGAAGAGCCAGCAGCUGAACUGAAGAAAACUGUAGACGAACCUGAAGACAAAAAAGAGGAGGAGUACGACGAAGACGACGAUGAGGAGAAGGCGACGGUGGAUGUGAUCAAACCUGUGCCUGAACCAGAGGAAGAAGCACCACCGACUGAACCCGCAGCAUGUCCCUGCAUGCACUCCGCAAAGGCCAAAGAGACUGCAGCAAAGACUGUAGACAAAAAAGAUGCUCCGAGGAAGGUUUCAGCUGUGAGAAGGAAAAAAGACCAUGAAGCUGUGAAAACAGAUGAAAAGCCGAAAAAGACAGCUUUACCCAGAAUUGCAGGUCUGCCACCAACACUCAGGAGGAUCAGGAAAACUCCUACUAUUCUCAGAGCCAAGAAAGUGGAAAAGACCAAGACUCCCAAAGCAAAGACAGAGACCAAAAAAAAAGAAGAGGUCACAGAAUCUGCACAAGACGUUGGCCCUUGCAGACCUGCACCCGUCUACUGCCCUUCUCCACCUGGCUGGUACGUUCAUCACGUUGUCACAGACAACCCGUAUCCUCCACCAACCAUGUCAGCUCCCUCUGCUCCUGUUCUGACCGCCCACCCCGUCCAUCCCGGAGCUCCGCCGCUGUAUCAGCAGCAACCACCUCCCUUGAUGCAGCCGCUCUAUGCACAAUAUCAACCAUACCCACCGCCAAUGCAGCCAGUGAUGCAGCCUCAACCAGAACCAGUGCAGCCAGUCCCACCAGUUGAACCAGUCCAGCCAGAAGCCACAGAACAAGAGGCUCCUGUUCAGCCUGAGAUCCAGACUCCAGUUGAUGAAGCUCAGCCCGCUGUGGCUCCAGUCCAGGAACCAGAAACUGUUGAGGAAGAAGUAAAGGCUGCACCCACCAAGAAAGCUUCAAAGAAGAAAACUGAUGCUGCUGAUUUAGAAAAAGAGCCAGCAGCGGGCAAAGAGAAAACAAAGAAAGAUGCUGCUGUUUCCAAAGACACCAAAGCAAAGAAAGAACCAACUGCAAAAAAAGAGAAAACCAAAAGUCCAGCAAUGGCUAAGAAAGAGCCAGCUGUAAAAGAGAAAACCAAAACGGCUGCAGCUGCUAAGAAAGAGCCUGCAGCUGCCCGACAGAAGAGGAAAUCAGGCUCUGAAAAGACAGAAGCGUCACCUGUCAAGAGCAAAGAGAAAGCAACUGCAGCCAAGAAAGAUGCAGAUCCAGAACCACGUCCACAGCCGAUCAGACUGAGAACGAGACUAGAUGCUGCUAGGAGGGCAAAUGUAACCUCUCAGGCAAAGGAGGAGAAAGAACCAGCCAAGACAAGAACGAAAUUAUUGGCGGACAAGAAAAGCAAAGCUGAGAAGGCUGAAAAGAAAUCCGUCAAAGUGGCUCAAGAUAAAGAGAAACAACCAACACAAACUAAAGAGCCCCAGACCGAAGACAAUACUACAGAAAAGAAGAAACCAGGCCAGAGAUACUUCCAGUGCAUUUACAUACCUGGUAAAAAUGCACAGUACCCUUUGCGACCUUUCACCCCAGCCAUGUCCCCCACCAUGAUGUCCCCUGCACUCAGGUCCAUGCUGGAGCAGCAGAGAGCAGUGAGGGCGUCGGGGCAAUAG